UACAGAGGGUGCAAGCGUUAAUCGGAAUUACUGGGCGUAAAGCGCGCGUAGGCGGUUCGGUAAGUGGGAUGUGAAAGCCCUGGGCUCAACCUGGGAACUGCAUUCCAAACUGCCGAGCUAGAGUGUGGUAGAGGGAGGUAGAAUUUCCUGUGUAGCGGUGAAAUGCGUAGAUAUAGGAAGGAAUACCAGUGGCGAAGGCGGCCUCCUGGAUCAACACUGACGCUGAGGUGCGAAAGCGUGGGGAGCAAACAGG
rnacentral:rRNA from 1 species